ACGCUGGCGGCAGGCCUAACACAUGCAAGUCGAGCGCCGUAGCAAUACGGAGCGGCAGACGGGAGAGUAACACGUGGGAACGUGCCCUUUGGUUCGGAACAACCCAGGGAAACUUGGGCUAAUACCGGAUAAGCCCUUACGGGGAAAGAUUUAUCGCCGAAGGAUCGGCCCGCGUCUGAUUAGCUAGUUGGUGGGGUAAUGGCCCACCAAGGCGACGAUCAGUAGCUGGUCUGAGAGGAUGAUCAGCCUCACUGGGACUGAGACACGGCCCAGACUCCUACGGGAGGCAGCAGUGGGGAAUAUUGGACAAUGGGCGCAAGCCUGAUCCAGCCAUGCCGCGUGGGUGAUGAAGGCCCUAGGGUUGUAAAGCCCUUUCGGCGGGGAAGAUAAUGACGGUACCCGCAGAAGAAGCCCCGGCUAACUUCGUGCCAGCAG
rnacentral:rRNA from 1 species